rnacentral:rRNA from 1 species
UACGUAGGGGGCAAGCGCUGUCCGGAAUCAUUGGGCGUAAAGAGCGUGUAGGCGGUUCGGUAAGUCGGCUGUGAAAGUCCAGGGCUCAACCCUGGGAUGCCGGUCGAUACUGCCGGACUAGAGUUCGGAAGAGGCGAGUGGAAUUCCCGGUGUAGCGGUGAAAUGCGCAGAUAUCGGGAGGAACACCUAUGGCGAAGGCAGCUCGCUGGGACGUUACUGACGCUGAGACGCGAAAGCGUGGGGAGCAAACAGG